GACAGAGGGUGCAAACGUUGUUCGGAAUUACUGGGCGUAAAGCGCGUGUAGGCGGCUAUGCAAGUCGGAUGUGAAAGCCCUCGGCUCAACCGGGGAAGUGCACCCGAAACUGCAAAGCUAGAGUCUCGGAGAGGAUCGUGGAAUUCUCGGUGUAGCGGUGAAAUGCGUAGAUAUCAGGAGGAACACCGAUGGCGAAGGCAGCCCCCUGGGCUAACACUGACGCUCAGGCACGAAAGCGUGGGGAGCAAACAGG
rnacentral:rRNA from 1 species